UUUGUUGUCUGUGAUAUUGUAAACAUUAAACAAUUUUUCGAUUGUUUGAAUACAUGUGCACCUCGUGCAAUUAGAAGAUUUAAUUUUAAUAUCUAUCAGCUAUUUAAAAAUGAAUUAGUUCAAUUAAGCUGAAAAAAAUGUCAGGUUACUUAGAAGUUAAGUAUCCUUUCAAAUCGAACAUCGGAUUGAAUCCUUUCAAGUCGUGGAAGAGGCAAUGGUGUAUUCUGCGGCCGGGGCCGAGCGCGGGCAGCGGCUCGUUGGCUGUAUAUUGCAGCGAGGCAGGCGCUACGGCAGGCACGGUGGAACUUCGAUCGGGUAGUGUUGUGAAACGUGCAAAAUCGCGUACUAGACCUCACGCUUUCGCUGUGUUUUCCGUGGAUGAACCGUGUAAACCCCGAAUCCUGCUCGCGGCGCAUUCUCUCCAGGAAGCACAGCAGUGGAUGGAGAAAAUUCGAGAAUUGCUUAGUGGGCAGAAGCUUUUGGGCACCGAAACAUUGCUUAAAGAUUCCUAUUCGGUGACAAUCAUACCCACCGAGCUGUCAGAGAAAUGUGACGUGACCGGUGACAGCCGCCUCACCCUCUCGUCCACCGGGCUGGCGGUGUCGCGCCCCUCCGGAGACUUGCUCAUCCGAUGGCAAGACAUCACCGAUGUCCUGCAGGAGAGAGAGAACGGGGACAGAAAUAAAACAUGUAGACUCAGUGUUGAUAGCGGCUUCCACGGCGGCGGCGAGAUGAAGCUGUGCACGGCGCUCAACAGCGAUCUCACAAGCGCCAUCAAGCUCGCGCUCAAGGAGAACAUGCGGGGCGCGCGCCGCAGUCGCAGCCAGCCCGACCUCAACACCAGCUGCGACCUUACCGGUGAACUCCGCCGCAGCAGUUGGUACAGCGGACCCUCGGAGGUGUCGUUAGAUGACACCGACCUCAUCAUGUCCAAAGGCGUGCCGAGCGGACAGCUGUCUCGCUGUAGCGGCCGCCUGCUGCGAGCUUCGCUGACGUCACUGGAUGACAGUAUGUGCGACCGUCGCUCGCUGGUGUCGGUGUCGUCGGGCGUGUACGAGGAGAUCUCGGAGGAGCCGCGGCCGCGCGCGCGCGAGGAGCCCACGUACGAGUCGGUGGCGGACUGCAUCUACGCCACCAUGCGCCGCACGGGCAAGCGCCACCCCCCGCCGCCGCUGCCGCCCCGCCAGCCCUACCAGUGAGUGACCCCCUGCAGCCUUGAUGUGCGCCAGGAGCCCACGUACGAGUCGGUGGCGGACUGCAUCUACGCCACCAUGCGCCGCACGGGCAAGCGCCACCCCCCGCCGCCGCUGCCGCCCCGCCAGCCCUACCAUACAAUGAAGUUGGGCUCGUCGUGGAGCUGUCCGCUGGGCGGCGACGGCGUGACGCGCCACUCGUCGCUCGGCUCGCUGCACCACAAGCCGGCGCGCCCCGCCAAGCCCUUCAGCGUGUUCAGGAAAAGACUGAAGAGCGACUCGCGCAUCGCAUCUCCCAACAGCAACAAAGGCAAAGACGUGGAGACGAAGAAGAAGAAGUUCGACUUCACGCCCACACGCGACAUGUUCAAAAGCUUCAAGGUCAGCAGGAAGAUGAAGAACCUGAAGAUCAACUCGGGGCUGUCCAAGGGGGAGACGAAGAGCUGCGAGUUCCUGGACGAGACCCAGCACGUGACCAGCAACCGGUGCUCCAAGUCUGUGGAGUGCUUGGAGGGGAAUGGGUACGACGAGUUCGACGGCAACAUAUCCCUGGAAGUGUCCGAGGCGCGCGGCGAGUUUGCUCCCCAGGAGCUGUUCCAGCUCAUCCUGUGCCCCGACCUGCGGCUCAAGGACGCGCAGGGCCACCAGUGCGAGAACGACUACCUGCCCAUGUCGCCCAUCGUGCCGCCGCCCACGGAGCACCAUUACAUGGUCAUGUCUCCGAGGACUCAUUUGGCUUGAAUUUCUAGUCUUGACGGUUUGUGGGCGUUUUCUUGUAUUUCUCGCUUCAUAUUGGUAUACUGGUCACCAUACUUUUAUUUUAAGUGGAAACCUUUUUAGGCAUUUUUGGACUGGGAUAUAAGGUAAGCUAAAGUGAAGCUGUACUAUGUUUUUUUUAGAUAAAAUGCCCAAGUCUUCUAUUAGCACACGAAACUACCAAUGAAGAAAUGUUUAUAUGCAAGUUUUGAGUAGUUGGAGGAAAAUUACCGUUUUUUUUAAACUCUCCUCCUCCUCAAAACAAACAAACAAGUUAGCCCGCUUCCAUCUUAGAUUGCAUCAUCACUUACCAUCAGGUGAGAUUGUAGUCAAGGGCUAACUUGUAAGGAAUUAAAAAAAAAUAAAAACGAUUACAAACAAAAACAGCUAAAGCGUGUGAUACAUUCUGAUUUUCAAGACAAGCAAUUUAACGAGAACGGCAAAUAAUAUGUUCGAUUUUUGCAUUACUAUAAAAACUUUUGAAAAAUUAAAAAUGUGACUGUGAGACAUUUUUGAAAACGCUUUAUAAUAAAAUUGCGUUUGUAUGUGUAGUGAGACAUGAUAAUGUUAAUCGAUAUAUAUGCUUAUACUCUCUCUACUCACUCCAUCUUUCAUAAAAAUGAAUAAAAAAAUGAAAAGUGUUUAUUUCUUAACUAAAGUAUUACACACAAGUUGCAAGGGCCCCUGUACAAGGUGGAAACCUGUAAUGGGUGCCCCAAAAGUUUGAAUGUCCCAAAACAGGGUGUCCCAAAUCAGGGUGCCCCAAAACUUUGGAUGUCUCAAGACGGUGCCCCAAAAUAGGGUCCCAAAACAGGGUGUCUCAAAAUACCUGUGCGAGGGAGAAGGUCGUGUACUCUGCUCUCACGUACCAUAGACAUUUAUAUACCAUUUUUUUUUUAAUUUUCAAAUAUGGUGUACGAGUAUACUGUUAUGGUGAGAAAAACCGUCCACACUGUAAGGUAUGUGAUAUUUGAUGGUUAGCUUAGAAUGUAGUCGAGUAUCGCUAGUUGAAUUUGACUUGAAUGUCGUCAGAAAGACGGUCUCUUUAAAUGUUUCUUUGCCAUAAGGCAUUGGUACUGAGUUAAUACAAUUGUACUAAUCACAAAAGAAAUCUAACUUAACUUAAUUUGCUGGUGGCUUCGGCCGUGGCUAGUUACCCUGCCGGCAAAGACGUAUCGUAGACGUAUCCGAUACGAUGUCGUGUAGAAACCGAAAAGGGUGUGGAUUCUCAUCCUGCUCCUAACAAGUUAGCCCGCUUUCCAAGAUUGCAUCAUCACAAGCGCUCGUAGUAGUUUAGGCGCUACGUUGGAACAUAUAUACAUAGACUGCCAACAUCAUUACCCUUCCUUUUGACUUUGCCGUAUUCGGGUAAAAGAGUCCAGUCAAGAUGAAUUUUAAAGAUGUUUGUAAAUUUCAAAUACAUCUUGACUGGGCUUUGUUAAGCCAUAUUUAUCUUCUUUUAUUUUGUUUUUUUUUUCCGACUAAUUGGAGGGUUAAUGGGAAUAUUUGUCAUAAUUAAAAAGAUAUGGCAAAUAUUCUUUAAAAAAAAAUUAUCUUGAAUACAAAUAGACAAACUUCAACCAAUUGCAGUGCAACCGGAAAUACCGCUAUCUCUUUCAAAUGCAUUAGGGCGAAAGAGAUGGACAACUCCGCCGCUAUUAGACGAUAUUUUGUCCAUUUCUCUUCACUUGGUCGCAUUGGCAAGCGUGUGGAUGGCGAUGUUAAAGUCCCAAAAUCGAGUCAAAUGUUUGCGACAAAUACCAACCAUGUGGUACCUCCAUUAGUACAAUUGUAUUACUAUACUCAGAGGUACAAUUAUCCGCCCACUUAAAUAUGACGCGAGUAUAUUAAAGUAGGUGGAUAAUUGUGCCUCUGAGUGUAUAUUGUGUUAAAGGUGGUUUCGAAACAACCAAAGUUUUAGGGAAAUUUUAGGAUAGUUAGUGCGAUGGAAAACCGGAUCAUGUGUUGGUCGUCGUAAAGACUGAUGGUUGAAGACUUGACAAUUGUAGACUUUUACAAGUUAUUUGUCUGUGAAUCGGUGUACAGUGGCGUGCACAAAUUUGCGAUUAGAGUAGGCAUUAAGAAAGUAAAUGAUAUGAAUUACUUAUGGUCACUUAAUGUCAUGUUUGACUAUUUAUUGAAACUAUCUACAAUUUGGAAGGCAGUUGGAAGUCGGUAAAAAAAGGGCAAGCAGUAUAGAUAUGAAGUGCACGUCAUAGGCGUGCUAGGCGUGGUCAGCUCUGACCAAUGACUGACAAAAGCUGACCAAAUCAGCUGAUCAAAGUUAAAACUGACCAAUAUGCUAUAAGGAGUUUUAGCGUAACGUAAUGUAUCGCAGUGUAGAGUUCAACAUUACAUCACAAAUUAUGAUCUCAAGUAGCUUGAAUCUAAAGUUCACAAUGAGGAACUUACUAUUAAUAAGGGCAUAACAAACGAUACUUUAUACUAUUAGAUAUGUUAUGUGCCUUUAAAAUCAUCGCAAAAAGUGUUCUAAACUCAGCUAAUCCACUGAGCGCACACAUACACAGUUUUGUGUUAACUUGCACUAUAUAUUUAUGUAUAUGUAGUUUUUACACUUCCUGAACACGUAACUGGACAUUGUAGACAAUAUUUAGGUAUUAUUGUGUUUAAAUAACUUUCGUUGUUUAAAAAGUCACAAAAACAAGCCUUUGUUCGAUUGUGACGUGACGGGUAGCAGCGAUAUUGAUUGUACCAUUAUUUUGUGGCAGAGGAAACACCUUGAGCAGGUCCCAGGACUUGUGACCUUGGGGUAGCUUUAAGGGAUCCCUUUAGAAUACAUAAACACUCACCUUCCCUGCCCGACAUGAUCUCCAUGCCCACACUAAACAAUUUAUGAUAAACAAUAAUUACAACACAACGUUAUUGCACAAAAUCACUAACACGACUGGCAGCGUGACGGUGUACACGCUGCCUCACAAACAACUGAGAUCAAGUCAUCAAAUACCCUCUUCUUUAUACCAACAUUGAUAUUAAUACCACCUGUAAUCGAGAAACAUGUUACAGACGCUCUAGUGCCAUAUCUAACAGUAUAAAAUAUGGUUGUGGCUAAGUGUACACUGUACCGUGUAUAGCAAUAGCAAUCACUUGGGACACUUGGGAGUGCCUUUUUUCAUUACGCUUCCUAAUUACGAUUUUCAGCUAAUUUAGGAUUUAAUCUUUUCUAAAUUUACUCUUAACUAGUUUGUUGUUAUGCGUCGAUCGUGCCUAGUUAGUAGUUACCCUAUCCAAUGGCGUUCGGCCAAGCGAUUUAGUCUUUUGACAUAGUUGAGAACACUUUAGCUCGCUCAAAUCAGUGUAUCACAUCGUUACAUAAGGUCAGUGACCUGAACAAGGCUUUUAAAGGGCAGGCACUAUAUGUAAAAAUUGUAAUAAAAUGUAAAAUACCUUCUUCAACACAAGUUCUGGCUAGAAAGUGUAUUCUCACAUUACUGGGUGAGAUUAUAGUCACGUCAUGGUGUAUCGAUGAGUGAAAUAAACUAUCAUAUCAACUAUCUUGAUGCAUAAUUGUGGCAGUAUUAUUUAUAAUAUUGUGUAAUUUAAUAUAAUUAUGUUAAUUAUUUAAUUAAAUUAUUUUAACUUGGCACGUCAAGACAUUCACACGUUAUGCUUUGCGGUGUGUGUGAGUCGAGUCACUUAAAUUAAAAUACAAUUUUAAAGUCUCAAUAGUUUUACGGUUAAGAGGUCAAGCAAAUUGGUAUUGGGUUCGAAACUAGCUCGUUACAUUAUUGUCUUAGUAGCCACUCCUCAGUCUUUGUGACUAGCUAAAUGAGAGAGGGAAAUAUAAGGUCAUACUAAAAGACGUAGUAAAUAUUUAAAAAUAAUCACACGUGUGUCAAUGUGUUGACGUGCCGGGUAUAAUGCCGGCGCUACAUACAGUUUUACAUUAGAAUUAACAAAGUUUCAAAGGCACGGCACUUUGAAAAAUAAAUGCGCAAAGGAAAAUACACUUUGCCGAGCGGUGUAGGUUUUUUAGCGUAUAUAUCAAAGCGUUCACAGCCAAGGUAAUGUGAAAAAUAUUACAAAACUGUGUUAUUUUCUACCAUUAAUAUUAAUAAAAAAAUUAGAAAGACCUCCAUUUUAAUAGAGAGUUUUAACUACAAAUAAAACUUACCUAUUAUUUUUCCUGAGAUAUCCGGAAUCCAUGUUGAGUUUAGCCUUCCGUUUUUCAUGUGUUUUGACUUAGCAUUCCCCCGUUUCCGGUUCCCCACUCCGCCAUCGAUACUGUUUCCGUUUCAAUAUGGCGACGAGGCGAGAUGGUUGGUGGGGACACUUCAUUAUUAGCGUAAAAAUACACUUUGCCGAGCGGUGUAGGUUUUUUAGCGUAUAUAUCAAAGCGUUCACAGCCAAGGUACUGUGGAAAAAUAUUACAAAGCUGUGUAAUAUUAAUAUAAAAAUUAGAAAGACCGCCAUUUUAAUGUUUCAAUUUUUAAAGCUACAUGUAGCGCCAGCAUAAUUGUUAGGGAAAGUUCUAUCGAUUUUGAGGACCUGCGCAUUUAUGGUUUGACUGAAACAGUUACAUUAUCAUGAUUGAUAUGUAGCUUGGCAAGUUCGUUCAUGACACUCCCAUGAUAUGCAGGCGACGGGGAACGGGCUGCGCGGGGGGCUACCCCCUCCUGUCCCGCGCGGACCAUCGGGAGUGUUCGAACGAAUUUGCGAAGCUAUAGUUCCAUACCACCAUGACCAUAAGACCAUGUAUAAGCUAUAGUUAUACAUGGUCUUUUAAUUUUUUUUGUGAAACAGUAAAAAAAUUACUUAAUACGAAGUUUUUGUUGGUUGGUUGUUUGGAGGGUUUGAGUUGAAUCUCACCCAAUCUCCCGAUGGGGAGCUUCAACAAUAAUCUCGUAAUUUUUUCCUUCUUACAAAGACGUCAAUAAAUUUCGCGCAUAUAAUGUAUGUGAUGUACUCAACCAGCCAAAGAUGGUUUGUAAUUUCGUUCAAAUGAGUUUUUGGGAAUUGAAUGAUGAAGAAAAAUAAUACAUAGAUGACAUACAAAACAUAUGUUAAAUAAAAUGUAAUUUGCUCUUGAGUUCUAGCCUUUUGAGUUUUCAGAUGUCAAGAUUUUUGUUUUUACUGACCAAAAACGUCACUUUGGUUUUUGACAUUUUGAGACUUCAGAUCUGAAAAAAAACUAUAAAACUUUCCCUCACAACUAAUACACAUAACCGCGGAGCUUAAGUGAAUUUAAACAAAAUGCAGCUUUAUCGUUCAAUGUAUACGGCUUAAUUUGCGCUGACGUGUUGUGAUAUUUGACUUAGUGAUUAUAUUGGGCUAGGCUUUGUUGAGUUUGAUGGGGUUUAGAGUUGGAAAGAUUUAGAUUAAUAGAGGAAAAUUGAAUGUAUUGUAUGCAAUGAGUGUUAGCUUACGUGUAACCAAUUCUAAAUUUGUAAUAGGAAAGAAGAAUUUCACAUUGUAAUUAUGACCAAUGUAUGUUUUAGUUAGUGUGUAAGGGGCUUUUGCAUUACUUAGGUAAAUUAUUGACUUAUUAUAGUCUAUUUAGACUGAGGGUCUAGGAUAUGCUGUGUCAACAAAAAGAGUCUUUCGUUACGGUGAGACGAGUGAUUUGUAUGGUCUAAGAUCGGAUUGAAGUAUAUUUAUCUGUUAUUUUUUAGUGAUAACAAAUAAAUAAUAGAUAAUAUUCAAAGUGACACAUUGCAAAUAGGUUGUCUAUACCACCUUUCCUUUCUUGGUGAGUACUGUUUACCAACAAAAAAUUUAGAAAUGAAGUCAGAAAACGCCUGUCGUUUCAUAACUUAUUUAUUUUAAAUUAUGUAUGGUUUGUUUAUAAAAUGUUAUACAAAAUACAUUAACCAUAUCUAAUUGCCCUAAGCUUAAUAAACACAUUUAUAUUCAUUUAUUUAAGAAGUUAAUUAUAAUUAUUAUUAGGUGUCAAAUGAUUAGUGAUUUAUACCCUCAUUUUUAAUUUGUUUGUUGGUAAACAGUACUCAUCAAGAAAGGCUGUAGUAUAGAGAAGCUGUUUCAAACAAAACUCAUGUCGCAAACGUGCAUGCAGCUAAAAAAAAAAUAUUGUCGUAGUCAUAAUAUUAAAAUAUAGCACUAGAUCUCAUAAAGAAUAUUAUUUUCUUGCGACCAAAACGUAAAUAAAUUUUACCAUAAAUUAAAAAAAAAAUACCAUAAAUUACGUCUCUCAACAUAGUGAACUAGCGAGAUACUAUGAACAGUUGCACGGCACGCAGUGGUUUAUUCUCUAGUACGUGAUACAUAUACUCGUAACUCAAUGGUCUUCACAUGGUACUAUCCUUUUUAACGGGAAAAAUAACAAAGAAAUGCACUUAUACAUUUUAAAUUACUUUAAUGAGCUUUAUUAGCUUAUUGUAAUUAUAUUAACUGUCCCCACCUUAUUUAUUAGUUUAAGUGAUAUUCUGAAUAAAAAAUAAAUAAUAAAAUAAAUAAAUAAAUAAAAUCUUUAUUGACCAAAAAUAGAUACAAAAAACCAUAACAUUGCCUGUGGUCUCCACACUAGAUUGAUCUGUAUCGUGGAGACCAGGUAGGAUUUUCUAAUGCUUUCCGUUGGACUAGGACUAAUUACAAAAAUUACAACAAAUAGGACUACAUUACAAAAAGAAAAACAUUACAAAAAAGAAAAGUAAAGUAAAACAGUAAGCAGAAACGUUAGAUGAUGUACACAAUUAUUUUAGCUUAUUUCAUAUUUGCAUUGAGUAAUUCUUCGGUGUCUGUAUAAGUUAAACUUUUUAACCAAUUUGUUAUUGUUAGACUUGCCUGAUUUACUGAGAGAGGUAUAGAGAAAUUUUGUAAAAGUUUUCUAUUUAUUAGAUGGCUUGCAGAUAGCGGAGUUUCCUUCCUCUGUUAGAUUUGAACUAAUAUUUCUAAUCAUUUUGGCGUUAUAUUUGAUUUGUGGUAUUUUAUUCAUUGAAAACUUUGGAAACGCAAAUUAACUGAGAAAGCUGAACUUUGAAUAUGACGUGGGACCUAGAGAAACUCAUCAAAACUGUCAACUCACGGAAAAAAAAAAUUUGCACCACAUCCAAACUGACUCGGUAACGGAAAAUUUUUAACCAUUUCGAUCGAUAUCUCAAUAACGAUGAGAUUUAUGAAUAAUAUGAAAAAAUGUAAAUCUAAUUAUAGACUUUACAAAGACAACAAAAUAUAUUGAGUAAAAUUUUUCAUAUCUCAACGGACAACCGAGUUAUUUUUAAACAACUGUUUCAACCCUUUUUCUAGGUGGCGGAAAAUGCACUCGGUCGAGAAUUUAAAGUUAAGCUUUUUUAGGCCACGUCAUAUUCAAAAUUCAGCUUUCUCGGUUUAUUUGCAUUUCUAAGCCGAAUUUUCCGAUCUACCGACUGUAUUGACAAUAUUGGUCACCGAUUAGUUAUUUAGUAUCUACGAUAUAUCAGUCAGUUGUAUAUUUAGUGUGAUACCUAUUUAUAAUGAUGUGAUAAUUUUUUAUGGGCAGGGAUUCAUUACGGCCUACUACAUUUGUGUGAACGAUUUUAAAUUCUGGUGUAUUGUAAACAAUAGUUAUUAAUAUUGUAAAAAAUAUAGUAUUUUGUUUUCAAUCUAUUGAUGGUUUAUAUGUUUUCUAUAUACAAAAUAAUAAACCAUUAAUAAAUAUAAAAAAUUAUACCUCAUUUUAAGUGGAAAAAAGGGUUUUGUUUAUUAUUCCAGUAUUAUUAACUUAAUAAAACACAGACGAUUUAAUUUAUUUUUUGUUAAUAAUCAACCGUUUUGGAUUAUAAGGUUGGUAAUUCACCUGAGCCGAUUUAAAUAGCUAAAUUAUAGUUAAUAUGUGUGUCAAUACAAUCUAUGGCUUUUUGAUUUUUAUAACUUAGCUUAAGCUGAAGUAUUACAAGGGCACCCUAAUCUAGCUUGACUCAACUUUUUAUUCAUAUGUAAUUAUUUUUUUAUAACAAGAUUUUCGAAAACGAAAUUAACGCGAUAAUAUGUGAUAUAUUUUUCUCAAUCUGGUACUAAUUUAAAACGGAGUCUUGAUAAAUUACUAUUUUUAUGAGUAAUUACUAAAUAUUAAGUUGUGUAUUGGCCUGGUUCAUAUAUCGUCAUAGUUUCUACUUUCGUUUAUCUAAAGGUCCUUACAAUUGCACCUUAUAAAAAUUAAAAAAAAAUAGUAAGUAAAGAAACAAAUUGUGAUUUAAUAUGAUAUAAUCGUCUACCACCAAUCAGACGAGGUUGUUGUCCCAAACCUCUUCUGAUUGGUAGAAUACGGGAUGCUAUAUUGAGGGUAGUUCCCAUUUUAUUCUGUAGAAUACGACGUCAUAGAAACAAAUAUAAAUAUAUUUGGUCUCGGAGUUAAGUUCUCAGUGACGUCAUGACACAUAAUAAUAUAAUACUAUUUUUCCUAAACUGAUCCAUGUGAUGUACACCAAAGAUCUGACAAUAAUUUAUGAGUGUCGUAAGAAAAUAAAUUAUUCGACUUCGAUAGGAUAACGUGUCUACAAAUAUUUAUUAGUGUUAAGAAAUAAACUAUAUAUAAUAUUUACAGUUAUAUAUUGCAAAUAUAUACCAACCUAUCUAGGAAAUAUAUAGGUUGGCAAAGUGUCAAUAGUGUCAAUAUGAAUAUUUUCUACCAUUUAUUUCUUAUCCCAAAUGAUGAAAAUGAAAUGAAGACGAAAAACAGAUGAGGGGUUAACUAGGCAACCUAUCUGUAAUUUGUCACUGAAUAUUGUCUAUCAUUUAUUUCUUAUCACUAAUAAACAACAGACGGGAGUAUAUAUUUCUAAUGCCAGAUUCUAGACCACACCUAAUAUGUUUUUUCUAUAGAACAAUUUAGUAAAUGAAAAAUUUGAUGUUUCAUAGAAAAAAUUGCAACUGCCCUUACAACAGUUGAACAUACUUCAAUGUGAAUCGCACUCACGUUCUAGAACUUUAUUAAUAAGUUUUUUUACAAACCUUUUUUAUUUGUUUUGUUCUAUGCAGUGUUAUUCUGUUGAAUUGUUAUAUAUAAAAUUUCGUUUGUCAUACGGACAAACAUUGUGUUGUAGCUACGGUUGAUUCAGUUAAUGUAUUUAUUAAUUUAGACAAAGUAUAAGUGAUUAUUGUAUUAUUUAAAUAAAGUUUGUACGUGUA